rnacentral:rRNA from 1 species
GACGAACGCUGGCGGCGUGCUUAACACAUGCAAGUCGAACGAGGUCCAUGAAGUAGCAAUACUUCGGAAGACCUAGUGGCGAACGGGUGCGUAACACGUGAGGAACUUGUCCCGGUCUCUGGGAUAACAGUUGGAAACGACUGCUAAUACCGGAUGACGUCGGAGCGUCGCAUGGCGCGCUGACGAAAGGGUUACCGGAUCGGGAGAGCCUCGCGGCCUAUCAGCUUGUUGGUGGGGUAAUGGCCUACCAAGGCAUCGACGGGUAGCUGGUCUGAGAGGAUGAUCAGCCACACUGGGACUGAGACACGGCCCAGACUCCUACGGGAGGCAGCAGUGGGGAAUCUUGCGCAAUGGGCGAAAGCCUGACGCAGCAACGCCGCGUGCGGGAAGAAGGCUCUCGGGUUGUAAACCGCUUUCAGCAGGACGAAAAUGACGGUACUUGCAGAAGAAGGUGCGGCCAACUACGUGCCAGCAGCCGCGG